rnacentral:lncRNA from 1 species
GCCAUCUGUCAGCACAAUGCCAAGCAAACCUGCGCCCAUCAAGAAGUCCCCAGUCAAGCAGGCGGCCAAGAAGGCUCCUGCGCCUGCGCUCGUCCCGGAGCCUGAACCGGCCCCCGUAGAGGCUGCACCUGCGGAUGCUGCACCUGUGGAAGCUGCUGCGAUUGAGGAGACAGCUCCCGCACCCGAGGGAGAAGCAGCCCCAGCAGAGGACACCCCCACUGCCGAAGGAGGCACCCCAGCGGAAGCUGCUGUCGUUGAAGAGCCACCAAAGGCCUCCACGCCUCCACCUCCUGCAGUCCCCACCAGCGCUCCUCUGGACGUAUCUGUGGAGGAUGUGACCGAUUCCAGCCUCACCAUUAAAUGGAGCUCGCCGGAGACCAUCGGAGCCUCCGGCCUGGACGGAUACACCAUCGAGUACUGCAAGGAUGGAACCACAGACUGGGUUGUGGCUCAAGAGGAGCUGACCCCAACUAAUCUCUUCUGCAUGAAGAAUCUCACAGCCUAUGACCUGCUGCAUGUGCGCGUGGUGGCUGUAAACCGGGGCGGCCGCAGUGAACCUGGAACACUUGCUGAGCCUGUGCCCAUCCGGGAAAUUGGUGAGCGUCCCAGGAUCCGCAUUCCCCGCAUUCUGAAAUCCUGCUAUGUCAAGCAGGUUGGAGAGCAGAUCAAUCUGGUCAUCCCCUUUCUUGGAAAGCCCAAACCUGUGGUGUCCUGGCUGAAGGACGGGCAGCCUGUGGAUCCAAGGGUCAACAUCAGGAACAGUGACAAGGACAGCAUCAUAUUUAUCCGCCAAGCUCAGAGGGAGGACUCUGGUGUUUAUGAGAUUACCGUCAAAGUGGACAGCUUUGAGGACCAAUCCACCAUCACCCUUCAAAUUGUGGACCGGCCUGGCAGUCCUGCCAAUGUGAAGCUGGUGGACACCUGGGGCUUCAACGCUGCUCUUGAAUGGACACCUCCCAAGGAUAACGGCAACACAGAGAUCACUGGAUACACCAUCCAGAAGGCCGACAGGAAAACCGGGGAAUGGUUCUCGGUGCUGGAGCACUACCACAGGCUAACUACCACCGUCACAGAUCUCAUCAUGGGCAACGCAUACUCCUUCAGAGUGUUCGCUGAGAACCAAGUGGGCAUCAGUGAGAUGAGCACUGUCACCAAGGGGGUGGCCACCAUCCAGAAGACAGGUAUCGUCUACACGCCUCCCGAGUACCCGGAGCGUGACUACAGCGAGGCACCCAGGUUCACAACACCCCUCAUUAACCGCGCUGCCACUGUGGGAUACACCACCAAGCUGCUGUGCUCUGUCCGUGGAAGCCCCAAGCCUAAGAUCGAGUGGUUGAAGAAUCAGGUGAUCAUUGGAAACGAUCCCAAGUUUCGUCAGAACUCGACCCAGGGCAUUUGCUCCCUCGAGAUCCGUAAGCCCUGCUGCUUCGAUGGCGGUGUGUACACCUGCAGAGCCAAGAACGAGCAGGGGGAGGCCGUGGUCUCCUGCAAGUUGGAGGUCAAACGUACCAUAUUCACACAAGAGUUGGAUGAGAAGAUCGAUACCACUUUCAUGUGUGCUAAAUAUGAAUCUAAAACCAGCAGCUGGUUAGCUAUGCAUAAAGACUGA